rnacentral:rRNA from 1 species
AUAUCAAUAAGCGGAGGAAAAGAAACCAACAGGGAUUGCCUCAGUAACGGCGAGUGAAGCGGCAACAGCUCAAAUUUGAAAUCUGGCUCCUCACGGGUCCGAAGUUGUAAUUUGUAGAGGAUGCUUCGGAGCAUGUGGCUCCGGUCUAAGUUCCUUGGAACAGGACGUCAUAGAGGGUGAGAAUCCCGUAUGCGACUAGGCUGCCUACGCUCAUGUGAAGCUCCUUUCGACGAGUCGAGUUGUUUGGGAAUGCAGCUCAAAAUGGGUGGUAAAUUUCAUCUAAAGCUAAAUACUGGCCAGAGACCGAUAGCGCACAAGUAGAGUGAUCGAAAGAUGAAAAGCACUUUGGAAAGAGAGUUAAACAGUAC